rnacentral:rRNA from 1 species
UACGUAGGGGGCAAGCGUUGUCCGGAUUUAUUGGGCGUAAAGAGCGUGUAGGCGGCCUGAAAGGUCAGCUGUGAAAACUCGAGGCUCAACCUCGAGACGUCGGUUGAAACCAUCUGGCUAGAGUCCGGAAGAGGAGAGUGGAAUUCCCGGCGUAGCGGUGAAAUGCGCAGAUAUCGGGAAGAACACCCGUGGCGAAGGCAGCUCGCUGGGACGGUACUGACGCUGAGGCGCGAAAGCGUGGGGAGCAAACAGG